rnacentral:rRNA from 1 species
UACGUAGGUGGCAAGCGUUGUCCGGAAUUAUUGGGCGUAAAGAGCUUGUAGGCGGUUUGUCGCGUCUGCUGUGAAAAUCCGGGGCUCAACCCCGGACUUGCAGUGGGUACGGGCAGACUAGAGUGUGGUAGGGGAGACUGGAAUUCCUGGUGUAGCGGUGAAAUGCGCAGAUAUCAGGAGGAACACCGAUGGCGAAGGCAGGUCUCUGGGCCACUACUGACGCUGAGAAGCGAAAGCAUGGGGAGCGAACAGG